GUGCUCCCUACAGCAGCACCUAUACCAAAAUUGGAACGAUACAGAUUAGCAUGGCCUCUGCGUAAGGAUGACACGCAAAUGCAUUGAGUUCUGUAUUUUUUA
ensembl:snRNA U6 U6 spliceosomal RNA